rnacentral:rRNA from 1 species
GUGGGGAAUCUUCCGCAAUGGACGAAAGUCUGACGGAGCAACGCCGCGUGAGUGAUGAAGGUCUUCGGAUUGUAAAGCUCUGUUAAUCGGGACGAAAGAGCCUAGUGUGAAUAAUGCUAGGAAGUGACGGUACCGGAAUAGAAAGCCACGGCUAACGACGUGCCAGCAGCCGCGGUAAUACGUAGGUGGCAAGCGUUGUCCGGAAUUAUUGGGCGUAAAGCGCGCGCAGGCGGAUCUGCCAGUCUGUCUUAAAAGUUCGGGGCUUAACCCCGUGAUGGGAUGGAAACUACAGAUCUAGAGUAUCGGAGAGGAAAGUAGAAUUCCUAGUGUAGCGGUGAAAUGCGUAGAUAUUAGGAAGAACACCAGUGGCGAAGGCGACUUUCUGGACGAAAACUGACGCUGAGGCGCGAAAGCCAGGGGAGCGAACGGGAUUAGAAACCCCGGUAGUCC